rnacentral:rRNA from 1 species
CCUACGGGCGGCAGCAGUGGGGAAUAUUGGACAAUGGGGGCAACCCUGAUCCAGCCAUGCCGCGUGUGUGAAGAAGGCCCUCGGGUUGUAAAGCACUUUCAGUGAGGAAGAACGCCUGGUGGUUAAUACCCAUCAGGAAAGACAUCACUCACAGAAGAAGCACCGGCUAACUCCGUGCCAGCAGCCGCGGUAAUACGGAGGGUGCGAGCGUUAAUCGGAAUUACUGGGCGUAAAGCGCGCGUAGGUGGCUUGAUAAGCCGGUUGUGAAAGCCCCGGGCUCAACCUGGGAACGGCAUCCGGAACUGUCAAGCUAGAGUGCAGGAGAGGAAGGUAGAAUUCCCGGUGUAGCGGUGAAAUGCGUAGAGAUCGGGAGGAAUACCAGUGGCGAAGGCGGCCUUCUGGACUGACACUGACACUGAGGUGCGAAAGCGUGGGUAGCAAACAGGAUUAGAUACCCGAGUAGUA